rnacentral:misc_RNA from 1 species
AAGUCGUAACAAGGUUUCCGUAGGUGAACCUGCGGAAGGAUCAUUAACACGUAUCCACGUUAUCAACCAAUGUAAACUGUUUUCACCUCUCCCUAUGCUGAGAAUGAAUUGGCAACUUGAUAUAGGCCAUAAAUGGGGCUUGCCGCAAGGCGCCAACCUAUAGAAGCUAUUUAUUAAAGCGAAAGUUUUAAUAGACAAUUGUAUUUCAGUAUUAGGCAUCGUUCCACUAAUUUGGUCUCCAUUUAUGACCGUGUUAGAGGAACACUUUAUUAACCUAUUUCACCCCUUUUGCUAGUUGACUUUUAUAUGUGCGAUUUUGUGUAAGCAAGAUUCACACGUUUAAUUAUUUGAACGUUAAAAAUACAACUCUUAGCAAUGGAUAUCUUGGUUCUC